AUUUCCUUGAGGAAUGGUCUGAUGACAAGGACCAGUUUUUCCGCUUAACGGUUACCCCAGUACGUCUUGUACUUUUCAUCGUGUUCUGACGUUCGUGGUGUUGACGUAAUGUCUUUUUCCUUCUCACUAUUCAGUGCGUCGUUCUCUGCUCCACACAAAUAUGAUUUAUAUUCGUUUACUGUGUUGUACCCCUAUUCCCCGG